AGUGAACGCUGGCGGUAGGCCUAACACAUGCAAGUCGAACGGCAGCACAGUAAGAGCUUGCUCUUACGGGUGGCGAGUGGCGGACGGGUGAGGAAUACAUCGGAAUCUACUUUUUCGUGGGGGAUAACGUAGGGAAACUUACGCUAAUACCGCAUACGACCUACGGGUGAAAGCAGGGGAUCUUCGGACCUUGCGCGAUUGAAUGAGCCGAUGUCGGAUUAGCUAGUUGGCGGGGUAAAGGCCCACCAAGGCGACGAUCCGUAGCUGGUCUGAGAGGAUGAUCAGCCACACUGGAACUGAGACACGGUCCAGACUCCUACGGGAGGCAGCAGUGGGGUAUAUUGGACAAUGGGCGCAAGCCUGAUCCAGCCAUACCGCGUGGGUGAAGAAGGCCUUCGGGUUGUAAAGCCCUUUUGUUGGGAAAGAAAAGCAGCAGGUUAAUACCCCGCUGUUCUGACGGUACCCAGAGAAUAAGCACCGGCUAACUUCGUG
rnacentral:rRNA from 1 species